rnacentral:rRNA from 1 species
UACGAAGGGGGCUAGCGUUGCUCGGAAUCACUGGGCGUAAAGCGCACGUAGGCGGUUUGCUAAGUCAGGGGUGAAAUCCUGGAGCUCAACUCCAGAACUGCCUUUGAUACUGGUGAUCUUGAGUCCGGGAGAGGUGAGUGGAACUGCGGGUGUAGAGGUGAAAUUCGUAGAUAUUCGCAAGAGCACCAGUGGCGAAGGCGGCUCACUGGCCCGGUACUGACGCUGAGGUGCGAAAGCGUGGGGAGCAAACAGG